GCCGGAGUGGCGGAACGGAAUACGCGCAGCUCUCAAAAAGCUGUGAGCCGUAAGGCUCGUGUGGGUUCAAAUCCCACCUCCGGCA
rnacentral:tRNA from 1 species